UGAAUCAAGCAACCUUAACUCUACUCUGGUGGAUAGAGUUCUGAAAUAAAGGGAGUUAAAGGCUUGGGAAUUUAUAAUUUUGAGUUUAAGGACUCAAGAUAUCUCACAAAUUACUGAAGUGAUGAAUCUGUGCCUUUUUAAGAGAUGUUCUGCCCUGUUUUUCUUGCAAAGUGUUGCUGCCACAGUGGUACAAGGAUGUCUGCUUCCAACAGGAGUUGGUAAACAGCUUGAAAUUAUCCCUGGGAUGAGGAGGCACAGAACCUCCAGACAGUGAUCUGAAAUGGGGCAGGGGAUAAGCAACUUACUGACUGUUGGCAGAAGGUCUCAUUCCAGGAAGCUGCAGAUGUCAGCAGUGACGUUCCAUACGAGCCUUGAAGCACUGGUACACAGACGUGUUGGGUUGAGCGCAAAUCCUCUGUUGUAAUCCCUGACUUGGGAUCUUGCCUCCUUUUGAAAGGGACUGUUCUGCUUUGUCAAGCACCAUGCAGUUGAGAAGACAGCUGGGUUACUGCUCUUGGUGUUAAUGUCAUUUAUACUGGUGUUUCUCAGUAAAGGUUUAAGAUAACUCUGCACAUGCUGUGGAAGCGUGGAAGUGCUGAUCCAUGUGAAUCAAAGAUCGCUAUGUUUCAAAGACAAGUGCUAUGAAUACAAGCUAUUCCCAUAAACAUGGCAACAGCAAAUGUGUUUUCCUAUUUAAACCCUCUCCCACACAUCAGUUUCAAUACUUUAUGACUCUUGGCUGUUCUCUGCACCCUGAUGAGCUGCAUACAGCAUGGCAAACUUGUUCACUGAUUGCUGCAUUAAAUUGUGUUAAUAUACUCAACGUAUUUAAAUACCUUACCCUGUUAACAGGAGGUCCCUGAUUUACUAAUGUCCAACUUACAAACACUCAUACUUAUGACUGCGAUCUCCGUACAUGGUUUUAAAAUUUAAAGACCCCAUAUAUGAACCUUUCCUGUAGUUGUGAAUUGUUUCCUUCCAUUGUUGUGCAUUGUGUUCUCUCGUGCAUUGUGUUCUCCCUUGCAAACAAGCUGACUUGCGAAUGGACUCCAGAGCAGAGCCUGUUCUCAACCCUGGGACUGCCUGUAAAAGGUACCUUUUACUCCCUCACAUGUACUAAAGACCACCCCACCACAAGGCAAAUAAAAAUCCAUCUGACCAUGCUGUACUAUAUCUUCUU